rnacentral:lncRNA from 1 species
CGCCUACGGCCAGAGUUCAAAUGUCCAGAGCGUUCCCAGAUCCCAGACAGACCAGAAGCGUCCCUAGCAACCCCCAGAACGCUGGGAGGGGAGUCGUUGUGGAAGGCUCACUGUCUUUCAAGGAUGUGACUGUGGACUUUACCUGGGAGGAAUGGCAGCUCCUGGUCCCCGAGCAGAAGGACCUGUACCCGGGAUGUGACGUUGGAGAACUACAGCCACCUGGUGUCAGUGGGGUUUCCGGCUAUCAAACCAGAGGCCCUCUUCAGGUUGGAGCAAGAGCCAUGGAGAGCAGAGGAAGAAAUCUCCAGUCACCCGCAUCCCGCAUUUCUGCCUGGACCAUCCAUAGCUACCAAGCAAAUCCUCUGAGCACUGUGGACCAGAGUCAGGUUUCAAAGGAUGAUGCAAGAGAAAAAGCCAGACCACCCAACACCUCACUUUAUCUGGACAUCCUGGAGAAACGUGGCCAGAAGACAGUUAAGAGUAACUGGGGAAUCAUAAUUUUUGAGUAUGGGCUCAGCAAGACCCCCAGAUGAUUUGUAUGCACAUUAAGUUUGAGAAGUG